CAACUACACAGCAGUUCUACAUGGGGAGAAGGGGCUCAGCGUAUGCUCUAGCAGUGUGGCCUGCUAACAGACCCAUGUCUGACUGAGAGUCAGAGGGAGGAGAUGAAGGAAGCAUGACUUAGUGGCCUUGGAGCGCGUACACACACACACACACACACACACACACACACACACACACACACACACACACACGGAGCUCCUCCAAACGCUGCAAGGUAAAGGGAAGAGAGCCAGAACUCACGAAAGGUUGUCCUCCUAUUACACCACCAGCCAACAUGCUUCCUAGUGCAGGCAUUCAGGAGUCAAUGCCAUAAAUGUGUGUGCUCAUUCAACUUUUGCCCAGAUGUGUGUUCAGGCUUGAAGUUGAUGGAGGGCAAGCUCAGACACUUGGGCAAGAGAGCUCUAGUUCAUGGAGCAACUGUUGUGCCAUGAAGAUAGCUCUAGAGGGCUGGAGAGAUAGCUCAGUGGUUAAGAGCACUGACUGUUCUUCCAGAGGACCUGAGUUCAAUUCCCAGCAACCAUGUGGUGGCUCAUAACCAUCUGUAAUGGAAUUGAAUGUCCUCUUCUGGUGUGUCUGAAGAGAGUGACAGUAUACUCACAUUAAUAAAAUAAAAUAAAAUAUUUAAAAAA
rnacentral:lncRNA from 1 species